CCUUGACAUACUAAGAACUUUCCAGAGAUGGAUUGGUGCCUUCGGGAACUUAGAUACAGGUGCUGCAUGGCUGUCGUCAGCUCGUGUCGUGAGAUGUUGGGUUAAGUCCCGCAACGAGCGCAACCCUUUUCCUUAUUUGCCAGCGGGUCAUGCCGGGAACUUUAAGGAUACUGCCAGUGACAAACUGGAGGAAGGCGGGGACGACGUCAAGUCAUCAUGGCCCUUACGGCCAGGGCUACAUACGUGCUACAAUGGUCGGUACAAAGGGUUGCUACCUCGCGAGAGGAUGCUAAUCUCAAAAAGCCGAUCGUAGUCCGGAUCGCAGUCUGCAACUCGACUGCGUGAAGUCGGAAUCGCUAGUAAUCGCGGAUCAGAAUGCCGCGGUGAAUACGUUCCCGGGCCUUGUACACACCGCCCGUCACACCAUGGGAGUUUGUUGCACCAGAAGUAGGUAGUCUAACCGCAAGGAGGACGCUUACCACGGUGUGGCCGAUGACUGGGGUGAAGUCGUAACAAGGUAGGCGUAGAUGA
rnacentral:rRNA from 1 species